GCCGGGCGCCGGCCGGUGGGUGCCGGGCGGGCCGGUCGCGGCGGCCGCCGUCCUCGCGGGGGCGGCGUUCGUCCGGCACGAGCGCCGGACGCC
rnacentral:tRNA from 1 species